UGUUGCCACACUUAUAGUGGCCAUACUAUUGACCAUACAAUCAGCAAACGCUGGAUUUAUUAAGUAUGGCGGUUACGGUGGUUAUGGCGGUUAUGGAGGAUAUGGUGGCGGUUAUGGUGGAGGCUAUGGUCUAGGCUAUGGCCGUGGAUAUGGUUAUGGAUUUUAUGGUUAAAUAUUAAAAUGUGUGGACAUCUAAUGGCCCACAUUUUACCCCCCGGCCCCACCCCCCUAAUUACUACCAUAUGGCUUAAUUUAAUUGAUAAUAUUUUGAUAUAUAAGGCUAAAUAAAUUUUAAUUAAUUUAAUCAAAA